rnacentral:ncRNA from 1 species
UACCAUAUUGAUAUGUGGUGUUUGCAUGUCGGAAUUCAACCCUCGCUUCUUUUGUUAUUUUUUCUAUUUCAUGAUUAUUAAUGUAAGUUGUACGAAUAGAAAAAUCGAAUGAGGCUACUUGAUAGUUGUUUAGGAAAUUUUAACUGAUGGUGUCAUACCUCUAAUGUUACUUUGAAAAAAAUUAGAGUGCUCAACAUACAUUAGUUUGGGAUAAAAUCAUUGAAUUUCGAUACUAUUCUGUUGGCCUUUGGGGCUAGAGUAAUGAUUAAUAGUGAUAGGGGCCUUCGGGAUGUUCGUAUUUCAUAGCCAAUGGUGAAAAUCUUGGGUAUUAAAGAUGAACAAUUGGUAAUGCAUUUGCUAAGUAUGUUUCCAUUAAUAAAAAGCAAAAAAGUUGAUGGCUUGAAGAUGAUUAAAUACCUUCCUAGUCUUAAUUUAUGUGUUGUAUGAGGAUUCACAAAUGUUGCUUUUAGGACUCUGCCAACACCUUACGUGAAAUCAAAGUCCUUGGGAUCCAAGGGAAAUAGGGUUGCAAGGUUGAAAAUUAAGGGAUAUAGGAAGGGACCACUAGAAGUAGAGCUCCUUCUUGAUUCUAUGGGUGGUGUUGCAUGGUCGUUUUAAUUAGUUGGUGGGAUGAUUUUUCUAGUUAAUUUCAAGAAGACUUCAACAACUUGCUAACUAGCUAUAAGAAGGUACCCCUUUGCGGCCACUUCUUAGAGGGACUAUGGUCAUUUAGUUUAAGGAAGUUUGAGACAAUAAUAGGUUUAUGAUGACCCAUUACAAUGAUACAUUUAAAGAUUCAACCUUGGAUGACUUCAAAUAAUCUUGAAAUUUUAUUUUAAUGGGGAUAAAUUUUUGCAAUUGUUGGUCUUCAACUAGGAAUUCUUAAUAGGUGAGAGUCAUUAACUUGUGUGACUGCAUCCUGGCCUUUUGUACACAUAGCUCGUCACAAGAAGUUCGUUGAACCCUUAUCAUUUAGAGGAAAGAGAAGUCAUAACAAGGUUUCCAUAAGUGAACUUGCUCAAAGAUCAUUA